rnacentral:misc_RNA from 1 species
AAAAAAAAAAUACAAGCAUACAAAAAUCUAUGUGUGAAUAAGUCAUGACCUACAUCCAAAAUCACAAAGGAUAGUAAGAUGGAAAAGAACAAAACCAAGCAUGUAGGUCCAUUACAUAUCACAAAAUGGAUAAACCAUUCAUGAAUACAGUUUUGAAUAAUAAAAACUCAUGAAGCAUGCAUAGGCACAUACACCAUAGAUAAUACCAGACCUUUUCUAUCAGAUCUAGCAGGACAAUUAUUACAGCUGAGACAGACAAUUACUG